GAUGAACGCUAGCGGCAGGCUUAAUACAUGCAAGUCGAGGGGCAGCAUGAGUAGCAAUACUUGAUGGCGACCGGCAAACGGGUGCGGAACACGUACAGAACCUUCCUUCGAGCGGGGAAUAGCCCGGAGAAAUCCGGAUUAAUACCCCAUAGUAAAUUGAAAAGGCAUUCUUUUUAAAUUUUAAAGAUUUUACCACUUGAAGAUGGCUGUGCGCCUGAUUAGGUAGUUGGCGGGGUAACGGCCCACCAAGCCUUCGAUCAGUAACUGGUGUGAGAGCACGGACCAGUCAC
rnacentral:rRNA from 1 species